AUGACGCUGCUGCCGGCGCGGCUGCUGCACGCGCGCGGCAAGACCACCGCGGCCCAGCACGUGGCGGCGCGGCAUCUCGACCACACAUUCGAGAAGCUCGUGGCCUCCAGCCUCCCGCUCGUGGCGGCGUCGCCGCUGCUCGAUGCGCUCCGGGCGUCGCCCGAGCCGCUCGCGCUCCCGGACCUCGCCCGCCGCCUCCCUCUCCGCCUCCACCGCCGCGGCCCACUCCACUUUCUCCGCCUCUUCCCGCGCGUCUUCGACCUCCGCCCCCCUCUCCCGCUCUCCCUAUCGCUCACCGCGCCUGCCGCCUCACUCCUUGCGGUCGCAUCCUCCCCCGACGCGGCCGCGCGGAUGCUCCACCGCCUCCUCGCCAUGUCCGCAUCCCGCUCCGUCCCUCUUCGCGCCGUGUUCCGCGUCUGGCGCGAGCUCGCUCUGCCCGACGACUUCGAGGAUUCCGUCGUCGCGCAGCAUCCCCACCUCUUCCGCCUCUCCCCCAAUCCCGCCGAGCCCAGAACCCACGUUCUACACCUUGUCGCGGAUCCGACGAAGGGGGAUUUCACUCCGGCGGUGGAUAAGAACCGGCCGGAGAAGUACGCUUUCCAGCUGCAGUUCCCGCCAGGGUUCAGGUUGACCAAGGAGUACCGGAAGAAGGUGAAGGAGUGGCAGCUGCUGCCAUAUGUUGGACCGUACGAGGUAGUGGAGCAGAGGAUUGGCGCGAGCAAGAGGGUAUCGAAGAUGGCGAGGAGGAAGAUGGAGAAGAGGGCAGUCGGAAUUGCACACGAGUUUCUGAGCUUGACAGUGGAGAAGAUGGUGGAGGUGGAGAAGUUCAGUCAGUUCCGUAAGUGGUUUGGGAUCGACGUGAAUGUCAGGGACGUAUUCUUGGAUCAUCCUGGGAUAUUUUACCUCUCGGCAAAGGGAAAGCGGCAUACGGUGUUCCUGCGGGAAGCAUAUGAUCGUGGCAAGCUUGUUGAGCCUAAUGAUGUUUCAGAGGCACGAAGAAAGCUUGUUGAGCUCAUGCUCUUGCGUCGCCAUGGCCUUGGGAACGCCAAUUCUAAUGCCAACAUGUCUUCAAAUGGCAAUGCCGGUGCCAAAGAGAGCGAUGACGAUUUACAGGAACUGGAGCUCUAG
rnacentral:rRNA from 1 species